rnacentral:tRNA from 1 species
UAAAAUUAAGUUCUUGGCAACGUCUCUUUGUUAAGGAGAAAGUUUGGUAAUUUUUG